ensembl:lncRNA
CAAACACAAGACAAAAGCUCAGCGCACAGAUUCCGGGUACACAUCAAAUCUAAGAUCUAAAGUCCUUGCCUUCUUUCCAUUAAAAAAAAAAAAUUUAGCAACACUCCAAAAUAUUUUUAAAGUACAUUUGAUACAUAGACGCCGGCACAGCUUCCCUGUGGAACCCGGGUAAGGAAUUUCCCUGCAAACCGACACAACCCGAGGAGAGGACAGACAUGCAAGGCAGCGAAGAGGAGGACCACUGACCAUGGCCAGGUCCCGCGCCAGCCCCGCCGUCGUGGGUCCCUUACCUUGUGGCUUUUCCCCCCCGGGGGACACCUGACGUUGUUGGAGGCUCCCGCUGUCUGAUUCAUGUCCGGAGGAACUUGGGAACCGAUGCUCUAGAACCUCUCCAAGUUCCUCGGCGCCUGGAGGGUGGCGAGGGGCGCGUCUCCCGGAGGCGAGGUGGGUCCUGGCAGUCCAGCCGUGUCCGGGCGGCGUCCCCUACGCGGCAGGUUUCCGAGGGACCCCUCGCCCAGGGAAGCUGAGCACUGCAAGCCCCGGAGCCGAAGAAGGAGAAGCAGCUGCUGGGAUCCCAGAGGGAGCCGGGCCGGCGCCGGCGGCUCUGAGGGCGCUGUGCCCGGGGCUGCCUUCUCCGGGAAGCAGUCCAGGACUGUCCGGACCUGAGCACCAGCAGAUCCUAAAGGAGCUCCUGGGAGAGGCGAGGAGGUGGACUCUUGACCAGCUGAGCCACAGGUGCCAGCAUCGCCCUGCAUCUUCUGACGUUAGUUUCUGCUCAGCCCUUAGGCUCCAGGCAGAAGACCCUGAAAAAUACAUUGAAGCAAGAAAACGCUGAUAAUAUAUUGUCUCUGGUAAGUAAUGAAGUUAAUCUUUCAUUUUACUCUUGAUAGUUAAUUUGCUUCAGCUCG